GUGGAUGAUAGGGGAAGGUAUAGAAAGACAGGCAGAUAUGUAGGUAGACAGACAGACAAACAAAUAGAUAAGUAUAGAUAGAUGACAAGUAGAUGGAUGAAUAGCCCCUGGUAGAGGAACGGGGCCUCAUCUGAACUUGCCUGACAUGGAGGUGGACCUCUGAAAUGAAAAAGUUCUUUGGUGUUUGUUCCUUGAUUAUUAAUGCCCAUCCUGUGAGUUUAACCUUCUAGGUAAGGGAUCUAAGUCCAAAUUCAAGGACAAAUGGGGAAUUAGAGGCAGCAGUAAGUUGAGGUCAAUUCUGGGUUACAAGUCAGAGAGAAGAGCCCGACUGAGUGCCUUUUUACAAGUCACCUGUCUGCAUACGGUGGGGGCUGUAUUUCUGAGCCAAUCUGCAGGGUGGUAUGUAAGGACCCCCUCAUCUCUGCCUGCAAAGCUCUGCUUUCUGAAUUUGCUUACUCCCACUGGACAUGAUGAGGCUGUAACACCAUAGAGGAUGGGUUUGCCAGAGCAUGGCAACACACAGGAGAGCUUUGAUUCUGCAGUCAGCAAUAUAACCCCCCUAUUAUGGAUUGACUUGUGUCCCCCAAAGAUGUAUGUCAACUUGGCUAGUCCGUGAUUCCCGGUAUUGUGUGAUUGUCCACCAUUUUGUCAUCUGAUGUGAUUUUUCUGUGUUGUAAAUCCUGCCUCUAUUAUGCUAAUGAGGUGGGAUUAUCUGCAGUUAUGUUAAUGAGGCGGGAUUAUCUGCAGUUAUGUUAAUGAGGCAGGACUCAAUCUACAAGAUUAGGUUGUGUCUUAAAUCAAUCUCUUUGGAGAUAUAAAAGGGAGAAGUGAGCAGAGAGACAGGGGGACCUCAUAGCACCAAGAAACAAGAGUCAGGAGAGUAACGCGCCCUUUGGACCCAGGGUCCCUGUGCUGAGAAGCUCCUAGAUCAGGGGAAGAUAGAUGACAAGGACCUGUCCCAAGAGCUGACAGAGAGAGAAAGCCCUCCCCUGGAGCUGGCACCCUGAAUUUGGACUUCUAGCCUCCUAGACUGUGAGAGAAUAAAUUUCUCUUUGUUAAAGCCAUCCAUUUGUGGUAUUUCUUUUAUAGCAGCACUAGGUAACUAAGAUACCUCCCCCUCAAUAGAAGAGAAAGAAUUUCCCAUCAGCCUGCCUUCAGGGUCCAGAGGCAGCAGGACCCCAGGCUCCCUUCCAUCCAGUGCAUUCAGUAUGCGGGUAGAAGAUGGCUGUGGUUACCUUCUCAGACCCUUCCCUUUGUUUCCUUUUGGGCUUGUCAAAUCUUUGUUUUGUGCAGAUGGAUUUUCUGCACUUUUCAUUUCUCAGCAUCUAGAGAGGACAGGAUAUAGCAUACGUCUGGACUUUUCCAAGGAGUCCUUGGGUGGUGCCAGUAGUUAAGCGCUUAGCUACUAACUGAAAGAUUGGCAGUUUGAGCCCACCCAGAGGAGCCUCAGAAGAAAGCCCCGGUGAUCCACUUCCAAAAGUCACAGCACUGAAAACCGUGUGGAGUGUAGUCGACUCUGACAUGCAUGGGGUGGCCGUGAGUCAGAGUCAACACAAUGGCGACUGGCCAGGCGUUUCCACUGGGGCCUAAACAGGUUGUGCCUGCAUCCUUGGGUCUGGGUGUAGGCUGUCCUGCCUUCUUCCAUGGCAUUUGAUCCACCAUGACACAAGUGAGUGUCCCGUCAUCACCUCACAGUGAUGCUUGGCGAAGAGAAGCAGUUUCUUCUGCACAGAAGAGAGAGCCACCCGGGGCUGUGUCCAAAGAUUCAGAAGAAAGAGGUUUCCUUCCUCCUCAGCCCUCUCCCCAGAGUACCCUGACUGACCAGAGAGGUCCAGCUGCCAUUGUCUGCCACCUUCCUUGAGAAGAGAGGCUUUUAGGACACAGAGGUACUGAGCAGGUUGGAUGUUAAAAACUGGGAAACAUCUCCAGACGGUGGAAGAAAAAGAGGCCAAUCUUGAACAACCUCCUCUGGUGAUCAAAAGGGCACUGAAGUUUCCCUCCCUUUUCUGGUUAGAUAUAAAUAAGACUUGCUCACCUGUGCAGACCUGCGCUCACACCUGGAGGUGAUGGUGUGGAGGAAACUGAACAGGUGGACUGUAAGGACUGUAAAUGGGCACUGUUCCAGUUUGGUCCAAUUUUCAGUCGCGUUCCUGUUGCAAAGAAUGUCCUUAGAAACCGCAAAGCUAGUACUUUUGCUAAUGCAAACAGAAAUUUCUUAAACUAAGAGAUGGGGCCACUGCCCAUCAAUUUUACAGGCAGUAAUGCAGAUCCCCAGUGGCUAAAGCCUGAGGCAGCUGGCAGAGCACUUCAUCACAGUGAGAGAACUGGGUUGUUGCCAAGGGGAAGCUGUUGUGAUAGCAUGCUGUUAUUGCUCUGCGUUAAUAAGUUGUGUUCAUCUUCUCGGACUCUGGUGGCCCAACUCAGCCCUUUUUCUUCAUCUUUUUGCUUAUUAUACAGCUCAGGCCAUGGGUAUGUGCCGCCUACUUGUCAUGAAUUGCAGGAAAACCCCCUCCUGCUGCUGCUGGUCCUGGUGGGCUUACACUUCUGGGAAUCAAGGCUUUCUGGACUCUUCGGUUCCACAAAUUAUACUGAGCACGAUGCUGGGCUGGCGCUGCAGGGAACUCCAAGAUGCAUGCCCACAGUUCUACCUUCAUGAUCAUUUUGUGGUUUCAGGGAAGAAAGUCACAUAGCCAGAUAAUUUCAACAACAGGCAGACUGUGUAACAGAGGGAAAACACACUGCUGUGGGAACCCAGACAAGGAGAGGGAAACUUGCAACGGGGGUAGAUGAGGGGUGCCUUCUUGGGUGAGGUUUCAGUUUAGGGAACUCUUAGAGAGUGUAGCCAUUUCAACCUGGAGUUUACCAUAAUGAAGAAGGAGGAACCUAGACACAAGAAAGGACACAUAGCCUUUAUGUAUUUUUUUAAUUAUUACACAGUAAAAUGACCUUAUUUACAACAAUGACCAAAAAAAAAAAAAAAAAGACUAGCUGCUAAGGCUGCUUAUGUACGACAAAACACCUCAUGAAAUUUGGCUCCUUAGUUUGGAGGUUUAGGGUCACAGUUUCAUGGGACAUCCCAGUUAAUUGGCCUAAUAACAUGUUCAGUGCUUCUUUUCUAUCUCCUACCCCUGGUGGCAUGGUGGUUAAGAGCUCAGGCUGCUUACCAAAAGGUUGGCGGCUCAAAUCCACCCACUGCUCCUUGGAAACCCUAUAAGGCAGUUCUACUCUGUCACAUAGGGUCACUAUGAGUCAGCAUCAACUCGAUGGCACACAACAACAACAGUUCCUUGAGUAGUUUCUGGGGUCUUAAAAGUUUACAAGUGGCCAUCCAAGGCACAACAAUUGGUCUCUAUUCACCUGGAGCAACAAAGGAAGAAGAGUCAGGAAUAGGAGGAAUGUGCGGCUAAUUGCCUCCAUGAAAAACUGUCUCCUUUGCCAUGAGACCAGAAGAACUGAAUGAUACUUGGCUACCACUACUGAAUGUUCUGAUCAAAGAUUCUGUAGAAGAAUCCUGACCAAAAGGGGGAAAAUGCAAAACAAGUUUUCAAAUUAUCACAGACUUCAGACUUUCUGGAGCCAUGGAGGCUGGAUGAAUCCCUGAAACUGUUGUCCUCAGGUAACCUUUAAACUUUAAACCAAAAAUAUCCCCUGAAGUCUUCUUAAAACCAAACAAUAGUUUAACUUAACUAGUAAAGACUGCCUGCCUUGAGCAUUAUGCUCUUUUGUUGUUGUUAGGUGUGGUUGAGUUGAUUCCGACUCAUAGCGACCCUGAAACACUGCGAGGUCCUGCGCCAUCCUUAAAAUGGUUGUUAUGCUUGAGCCUAUUUUUGCAGCCACUGUGUCAAUCCAUCUCCUUGAGAGUUUUUCUCUUUUCCGCUGACCCUGUACUUUCCGCUGACCCUGUACUUUCCCAAACAUGAUGUCCUUCUCCAGGGACUGAUCCCUCCUGAUAGCACGUCCAAAGUAUAUAAGAUGCAGUCUCUCCAUCUUUGCUUCUAAGGAGCAUUCUGGUUGUACUUCCUCUAAGACAGAUUUGUUUGUUCUUUUGGCUGUGGUAUAUUCAAUAUUCUUCGCCAACACCACAAAUCAAAGGCGUCCAUUCUUCUCCGGUCUUCCUUAUUCAUUGUCCAGCUUUAACAUGCAUAUGAUGUAAUUGAAAAUACCAUGGCUUGGGUCAGGCACAUCUAUGUCUUCAAGGUGAUAUCUUUGCUCUUCAACACUUUGAAGAGAUCCUUUGUGGCAGAUUUGCCCAAUGCCAUGUGUCUUGAUUUCUUGACUGCUGCUUCCACGGGUGUUGAUUGUGGAUCCAAGUGAAAUUAAAUCCUUGACAACUUCAGUCUUUUCUCCAUUUAUUAUGAUGUGGCUCAUUGGUCCAGUUGUGAGGAUUUUUGUUUUCUUUAUGUUGAGGCGUAAUCCAUACUGAAGGCUGUGGUCUUUGAUCUUCAUCAGUGAGUGCUUCAAGUCCUCUUCACUUUCAGCAAGCAAAGUUAUGUCACCUUCAUGAUGCAGGUUGUUAAUGAGCCUUCCUCCAAUCUUGAUGCCCCAUUCUUCUUCAUAUAGUCCAGCUUCUUGGAUUAUACCAUCUCAAGAAUAGAUUUGAUGCAUUGAACACUAAUGACCAAAGACCAGACGAGUAGUAGAAUGACUUCAAGGACAUCAUACUUGAAGAAAGCAAGAGGUCAUUGGAAAGAAAGGAAAGAAAAAAAUGACCAAGAUGGAUGUCAGAGGAGACUCUGCAGUUUGCUCUCAAACAUCCAGUAGUAGCUAAAGCAAAAGGAAGAAAUGAUGAUAAAAGAAUUGAAAAGAAGAUUUCAAAGGGCAGCUUGAGAAGACAAAGUAAAGUAUCAUAAUGACAUGUGCAAAGAGUUGGAGAUAGAAAACCAAAAGGGAAGAACAUGCUUGGUGCUUGUCAGGCUGAAAGAACUGAAGAAAAGAUUCAAGCCUGGAGUUGCGGUAGUGAAAGAUUCUAUGGGGAAAAUAUUAAAUGUCACAGGAAGCAUCAAAAGAAGAUGGAAGGAAUACACAGAGUCAUUAUACCAAAAAGAAUUAGUCAAUGUUCAACCAUUUCAAGAGGUAGCAUAUGAUCAGGAACCAAUGGUACUGAAGGAGGAAGUACAAGCUGCAUUGAAGGCAUUGGUGAAAAACAAAGGCUCCAAGAAUUGUCAGAAUAUCAAUUGAGAUGUUUCAGCAAAUGGAUGCAGCGCUGGAAGUGCUCACUCGUCUAUGCCAAGAAAUUUGGAAGACACCUACCUGGCCAACCAAAUGGAAGAGAUCCAUAUUUAUGCCUAUUCCCAAGAAAGGUGAUCCAACUGAUGCAGAAAUUAUAGAACAAUAUCAUUAGUAUCACAGGCAAAUUUUGCAGAAGAUCAUUCAAAAGUGGCUGCAGCAGUAUAUCGACAGGGAAUUGCCAGAAAUUCAGGACGUGGAACCAGGGAUAUCACUGAUGAUGGCAGAUGGAUCCUGGCUGAAAGCAAAAAUACCAGAAGGAUGUUUACCUGUGUUUUAUUGACUAUGCAAAGCCCUUCAACUGUGUGGAUCAUAACAAAUUAUGGAUGACAUUGCAAAGAACUGGAAUUCCAGAACACUUAAUUGUGCUCAUGAGGAACCUUUACAUAGAUCAAGAGGCAGUUGUUUGAACAGAACAAGGGAAUACUGAUUGGUUUAAAGUCAGGAAAGGUGUGCGUCAGGGUUGCAUCCUUUUACCACACCUAUAUUCCAUGCUCUUUUAAGAACUAUCUAUAUGGGAUCAAGUUGACAACAACUCAAAAGAUUAAAUAGGAACCUUCGGGGGCAGUGAGUUUGUGUUAAAGGGAGAGAAACAACUCAGAAAAGGAGGGUGGGAAUGCUUGCAGAACUCAAAGAAUGUAAUUAAUGUCACCGAAUGGUACAUGUAGAAACUGUUGAAUUGGUGUAUAUUUUGUUGUGGAUAUUCGCAACAAGAACAACAACAUAAUAUAUUUUUAAAUGACCUUGUUUUUGAGAGUAUAAAAAAAAACCAAACCCGUUGCCGUCAAGUUGAUUCCGGCUCAUAGCGAGAGUAUAGUUCUAUAAAUUUUAGGACAUGUAUAGAUUCAUGUAACCACCACCGCAACCAGGAUACAGAAAAAUUUAAUUACCCUGAAAUAAUCCCUUAUACCCCUGCCAAUACAUAACCUUUUGAUAUUGGCUUUCUCUACUCAGCACAGGGACGCAUUACUCAAAAAACAAGAUAUGCACAGGUUUACUUGUACUUACUUAUUAAUCUGUAGUGCACAGUUUCACCAGUAUUUCACCACAUGUGUAAGUAAGCACAAGCAAGUCCACGCAUACCUUGCUUCCUGGUUAAUCUGUCCCUAACUCAGCAUAAUGACUUUGAGAUCAACCAAGUUGUAUGCAUCAAUAUUUCAUUCUUUUUCAUUGCUAAGUAGUAUUCUGUUGUAUGUGUGUACCAAAAUUGUUUAUCCACUUACCUGUUGAAAGGCAUUUGGGUUAUUUCCAGUUUUUGAUGAUAAUGAAUAGAGCUGCCAAAAAUACUUAUGUACAGAUUACCGUGUGAACAUAAAUUUUCAUUUUUCUAGGGCAUAGUUUCUCAAUUUUGGCUCUCUUGGCUUUUUGGGCUGGAUAUAUCGUUGUUGUGGGGGUUGUCCUGUGUGUUGUAGGAUGUUAGCAGUAUGCCUGGCCUCUAUCUACGAGAUGUCAGUAGAACCACCCCAGUUUUGAUGGCCAAAAAACAUCUCCAGACAUCAUCGAAUGUCCCCUGAGGGAUGAAAAGCUCCAUGAUUUCAAGCCACUGCUCAAGGGUAAAUAUGCAGGAGUGGAUUUUACAGGGUCACAUGUUUUGUCUGUUACAUGGAAUCAAGCUGGUGUUCCAGGAGCGAGCCUGUUAUUUGAACAUAAAUACUUGAUCCCCAAGGCCAGCAUGCAGAUUAGGAGUCAGUUGCUGCCUUUGUGCGACACAGCGAAGGACGAAGCCCUGAGGGCGACCUCCGCCUUUAACAUUCCGCACUCCGUCCUCCAAGCACAGAUCGCGGGAAUCCCAACCCCCGAGCCGCCUGGGCCUUCUACCCCGCACCCCCGCAGCCCCUGGCCCGGGAAGGGGUGCGCUCCCAGCGGCGCGAGCCGGCAGCCAAGUUAUAACGGGCGAGGCGGGAAGCCAGGUGCCGCGCCCGCAGCUGCCACGACGCUCGCUUCGCUG